AACGAACGCUGGCGGCAUGCCUAACACAUGCAAGUCGAACGAGACCUUCGGGUCUAGUGGCGCACGGUGCGUAACGCGUGGGAAUCUGCCCUUGGGUUCGGAAUAACAGUUAGAAAUGACUGCUAAUACCGGAUAAUGUCUUCGGACCAAAGAUUUAUCGCCCAGGGAUGAGCCCGCGUAGGAUUAGCUAGUUGGUGAGGUAAAGGCUCACCAAGGCGACGAUCCUUAGCUGGUCUGAGAGGAUGAUCAGCCACACUGGGACUGAGACACGGCCCAGACUCCUACGGGAGGCAGCAGUGGGGAAUAUUGGACAAUGGGCGAAAGCCUGAUCCAGCAAUGCCGCGUGAGUGAUGAAGGCCUUAGGGUUGUAAAGCUCUUUUACCCGGGUAUGAUAAUGACAGUACCGGGAGAAUAAGACCCCGGCUAACUCCGUGCCAGCAGCCGCGGUAAU
rnacentral:rRNA from 1 species